rnacentral:rRNA from 1 species
GAUGAACGCUGGCGGCGUGCCUAAUACAUGCCAGUCGAGCGAACAGACGAGGAGCUUGCUCCUCUGACGUUAGCGGCGGACGGGUGAGUAACACGUGGAUAACCUACCUAUAAGACUGGGAUAACUUCGGGAAACCGGAGCUAAUACCGGAUAAUAUAUUGAACCGCAUGGUUCAAUAGUGAAAGACGGUUUUGCUGUCACUUAUAGAUGGAUCCGCGCCGGAUUAGCUAGUUGGUAAGGUAACGGCUUACCAAGGCAACGAUGCGUAGCCGACCUGAGAGGGUGAUCAGCCACACUGGAACUGAGACACGGUCCAGACUCCUACGGGAGGCAGCAGUAGGGAAUCUUCCGCAAUGGGCGAAAGCUUGACGGAGCAACGCCGCGUGAGUGAUGAAGGUCUUCGGAUCGUAAAACUCUUUUAUUAGGGAAGAACAAAUGUGUAAGUAACUAUGCACGUCUUGACGGUACCUAAUCAGAAAGCCACGGCUAACUACGUG